UGAGUGGCAAACGGGUGAGUAUAAUGUGGGAAUCUGCCUUUUGGUUCGGAAUAACACGAGGAAACUUGUGCUAAUACCGGAUAAGCCCUUCGGGGGAAAGAUUUAUCGCCUUUAGAGCGGCCCGCGUUAGAUUAGCUAGUUGGUGGGGUAAAGGCCCACCAAGGCUACGAUCUAUAGCUGGUCUGAGAGGAUGAUCAGCCACAUUGGGACUGAGACAUGGCCCAAACUCC
rnacentral:rRNA from 1 species